AGACAGCAGCCGCCGCGGUAAUACGAAGGGGGCUAGCGUUGCUCGGAAUCACUGGGCGUAAAGGGUGCGCAGGCGGACAUAUAAGUCCAUCUUAAAAGUGCGGGGCUCAACCCCGUGAGGGGAUGGAAACUGUAUGCCUUGAGUGCAGGAGAGGAAAGCGGAAUUCCCAGUGUAGCGGUGAAAUGCGUAGAUAUUGGGAGGAACACCAGUGGCGAAGGCGGCUUUCUGGACUGCAACUGACGCUGAGGCUCGAAAGCCAGGGGAGCGAACGGGAUUAGAUACCCCAGUAGUCCCUGUCUCUUAUACA
rnacentral:rRNA from 1 species